CCUACGGGAGGCUGCAGUGAGGACUAUUGGUCAAUGGGCGCUAGCCUGAACCAGCCAAGUAGCGUGAAUGAUGACUGCCCUAUGGGUUGUAAACUUCUUUUAUAUGGGAAUAAAGUGCAGUAUGUAUACUGCUUUGCAUGUACCUUAUGAAUAAGGAUCGGCUACCUCCGUGCCAGCAGCCGCGUUAAUACGGAGUAUCCGAGCGUUAUCCGGGUUUAUUGGGUUUAAAGGGAGCGGAGGCGGGUUGUUAAGUCAGUUGUGAAAGUUUGCGGCUCAACCGUAAAAGUGCUGUUGAUACUGGGAUACGUGAGUACGGUAGAGGUAGGCGGAAUUCGUGGUGGAGCGGUGAAAUGCUGAGAUAUCACGAAGAACACCGAUUGCGAAGGCAGCUUACCAAGCUACUUCUGACGUUGAGGCACGAAAGCGUGGGGAGCAAACAGGAUGAGAUACCCGAGUAGUC
rnacentral:rRNA from 1 species